rnacentral:lncRNA from 1 species
CUUAAUAGAACUAAUGUUGCUGAACAGUCGAGUCGGUCAUACUUUUGUUCUUGUGUGUAUAUAUAUGUGUAAAUUUUUUUUUUUACAAUUAUGAAACCUUGAGUAAUGAAUCAUCACUCAAAUGCUUUCUCUUGAAUUAUACUUUUAUAUUUAUUCUUCUCUUGAUAUGUAUAACUUUUGACAAACAUAUUAGUCUCUUUUUUUAUCGACUGCGAUAGGAAAUUUAGAAUUUGAUUGAAUUUUUCUUACCAACUCAGCUCCUAAUUGUCAUUUGUCACAAUAAUAUACCUGGUAGAUAUUAUUGCAUUUGUUCUCAACUUGAAUAUUAUUGAAAAUAUCUUAAUCCCAUCUGCAGUGCAUGUCUAUGACUAUUAUGCUAUCAAAGCAUCACAUUGUGCUAGAGAAAUAAUAAGCCGAUAUAUCUAUGUAGACUGUGUUUGGUACCUGAUGGAUCUCUAGUUAGGAAGGUGUAAUGUCUUGUUCAAUGACACAACCCAAUGGAAACAUCAGGCUUUCCAUAGAACAUUGAUUUGCUAUGAAGUUGAUGGAUUUCUUGCAUGCUUUCGAUUCUUGCUUCAAGUUCUGAAUUGAGAUUUGCUUUAUCAUUUUUCCCGAUUUUCUAAAUUUGGCAAUCUUAGCCCUAUCGGAGUUGGGGGAAUAAUGUUUGGCCAAGCUUAUAAGUAGCCUUUCUCAAACGUACGUCUCUUAAGAUUUGAUCUCAAGGACCUCUCAAUCAACGGUUGUGUCCCCUAACCGUUGAAACGACCCCUUAUAUUUUAUUUUUUCAUGUUGUGUUAUUCAUUUGAGAUUUUCAUAUUUUUAGCAGGUGUUCUGUCAUUUGGUGUGCCUGAGAAGAUUAUGGCUUCUAAACUUGGAGCAUACCAGUUCCAGUAUUAUGUACUCAGGUUGCAUGUCAUUUGGAGGCAGCUGUUCUCAGUAUGGUGGUCAAAGUGCCAUUUUAUUUUAUUUUUUUGAAUUUUUAGCACGCAAUUUAUUAUUCGACUCUGUAAAUACACUGGAUUAUGUAAAUUGCGUUGCAAUUGUAGAUUGUUGACCUUCUCAAGUUGCACGCUUUUGAUUAUUCCUUGUAUUGAUGAUACUACCUUUUAUAAAAGUGAUGUAGUAUGCAGUAGAACAAUUAUAGAACGGAAAAAAAGGGGGAGAUGAAGAGAAGAGAGGGGGACAAGAAGAUAAGAAUAAUUCCAAGGAGAAAUCAAUUUCUUUCAUUAUCAAAGGUUUAAUAAUAAUAAUCGUCUUACGUGGUAUAUGCGUAACAGUAUGUUAUUUGAUGUAUAAAUCUUAUGUAUCAAAUAACAAAUUGUCAUAUAUACAUCACGUAAAGCGUCGUUACUUCAAUUAAAAAGAUUUCAGGGUUUUAACUUUCAAGGAUCUUAUUCUAAAUAGGAAAUAUGUAAUAAAGUGAUUAUAUUAAAUGUCUUAAUUAUGAUUCUAAAGAUAAGCAUCAAAAUUGAAAAUGAAAUAUAGUACGGUUGGUUUUGUUUUCACACAGAUUAAGAAAUUUUAUUUAAUAUUAUUGAAAAAAUAAUUUUUUAAAAAAACUUUCCUAGUUUAUCUUUAUGUAUAUUUGUAUAAUUUCAAGAUUAAGUGAGGAAAAUUGAUUAAAACUAGGCAAAUUAAAUAAGAGUAUAUUAGUAAAGUAACAAAACAUAACAUUUUCAAAUAAGAAAUAUGAUUAUAUAAUUUGGAUAAGGAAAUAAGGAAAGUCAGUUUAUAUAAAUAGGAAAUAUCUCUUUUAAUACUCCAUCAAAUAGUUUCUAAGUAUGACCUUUAUCAAGAUUUUCAAAUGUAAAAAGCGACUCGAUUGGAGAACACACAAUAGAUAAAAUUUUAGCACUUGUUUAUAAUUAGUGGGUUUUAAAGAAUGUGUAGAUAGUAAAUUUUGGGAUUCUACACCAUCUUAAAAUAUUAAAAUUAAUUGUUGCUGUAAUAUUACUCAGAGCUUGUUUGGGCCAUACAUUUUCAACAAAAUAUAUUUUGGAAUAUUACUUUGAUGAAGAAUGUAUUAUUAAAAUAUAAUGAAAAGUUUUGGAUUUACGUACAAUAUUAUUUUAUUGAAAAAUAUGUUGUUGAACAUAAAUGAGAGAAAAAUAUAUUUUAAAAAUAAUGGGGACCAAACAGGGCUCAAUGUGUUUGUUGUAAGUCUACACCUGUUUGACAACUAUUAUUUUUAAACUUUUUCUUAAGAACUCAUUUUCAACCACAAAUUUACACAAUAAAAUAUUAUGUAUGUAAGCUCAAUUUUUUUUUGAUCAUAUAUCCUGCUAAAUAACACUAUUCAAAAAUUUGUUUUCCACAAUUAGCCCUUGUUUGAGCUACAUUAUAUUUCUAAAAAUGCAUUUUUGAAUAGUAUAUUGUGGGAAUGAGUUGUUAAAAAAUAAAGAAAAAUUUUGAAUUUGUGUGUAAUAUUAUUUUAUUGAAGAAUGUGUUAUUAAAAUGACGUUAAAUCAUUAUUUAAAAAUGUAUUUUUGUUUCUGACAAAAAAAAAGUGGCUGAAACUCAAUCUGGAUCUUUUGGACAAAUUUUCCAAGUAAAUUGCAAUAGUUAUAGAAAGUUAGGAACUUAGGAUUUUGAGAUUUAGAUUCUUGGGUAGAAGACUACGAGUCAAGUCCAGAAGAGAAUGGCCAUUGAUUUGAGAAGCAGCACUGCAACAGCUUAGGAGAUAGAUUUUGUGGAAUAAGAAUUCAAAAUUGUUCUUCGUCUGAUUGUUUGUUAAUGCAUUUUGGCAUGUUCCUCAUAAAAAAUCUGGGCCAUGAAAAGUUUUUUGGUCAUGGCUGACCUGGUUGACUUAUAGCAUGAAACUUUCUUUGGUAGUAAGUUGAAGGUGUUCUAGUGUUAUGGUUCUGCUCUAAAUAUUGAAUACAUAUUCUGCACUCCAUACCUUUCAAGUUAUUUAUCGUGUUGACAGCUGUACUGUAUGCAAGUCAUUUUAUUUGGAUUUUGUCAUAGUUUAUUUUUUAUAUCCGUUAACAGUGUAUGAUGUAACAUUUUCAUUGUAGUUAUAUGUAUCAAUAUUAUUUAUUGCCGAUAUCACAGUGUAUGAAUGCUUAGCUACCAUGUAUUGGGAUCAUACAUUAGCAAAUUAUGACUCAUGAAUAAAAGUGCACUCUAAGAUUCAGUACAUAUUUUAGGAAAUGUGAUAAAUAACCCUUCUACACGUAAAUAGACAAAAUCUAUUGAUCAAUGAUUUACAUGAAGCAAAAAGUAUGCCCUGGCUAUUUUACCAUGGAGCCUAAACACUAAGAUGUUUGUUGUCAUGGGAAAGGAAUGUUAGUUUGAAUACGUAUUAAACCUUAAAAUUACUUCAAGUCCCUACUGGUUACUUGAAAGAAUGAAAAAUGACAAACCAAGUUAGUUAUAUAAAAAUAUAGGCCAAAAUUCAAUUGUAUGGUUUCUAAAUGCUGAGAAAAUAAGACAAUAUAUUCAAAAUCUUAAAUAUCAACCACACCACCACUAUAUCUAGUUGUAGGUUGUGAGAGAGGAGAUUUUUUGUCAGAAAAAUGGUUUGGAAAAGAGAAGUGUUAGACCCCCAAGGCAAGUUCCUUAAGAAAUACAAAAAGCAUUGAGCUGUGCAAAGCUCAUUGAGGCACCAACAUUGCAUAAGGCCUAACCGCAAAGAUCAAAGCAAUGUGUCCAUAAGUUGUGCAAAGAGUAUAUAAUAAUAUAAAUGAAUUAUCUCCAUCUUUACAUAUUACAGAUGAUGAAAAGAAACAAAAAUUGCUUCUUAAAUGUAUAUUGGUUCAAAAGCCUAAAAGAUAUAUGCUCUUCAGCGCUAAAAGUGCACACAAUGCAACUUCCGUGAAUGCGAUGUGCCUAGAUGUGCUAAAAAAUAUAUGAUAAUUUGAAAGAGGGCUGCACACAGCUUUUCACAGUCCUGAUAUUAUUAUAGUUUUAUAGAUUGUAACGAUGCAUAUUAUAGUUCUCUCGAUUUGACUUAAAUUUUUGUAAAAAGUAAAUGCUAAGAGUUUUUAACGCUCUGUAGCGUUUUAGAUUUUUAAUUAUUGUUUUUCUUUUUGAGCUUGCACUCCCUUGAGACCUAUGUUUUGAGUAUACAGUUUUGAUUCCUUUUGCAAUUUCAUGAAGUAAUUUCCUUGAAAGAACAUUGAUCUCAGGGUUCUUCCCCUUUCACUGGUAGUUGACUGAUUGGCUGAAUAUCACGUGUUGCAUUUAUAUUGGGAACCUGAGCUGGAUUUGUGUUAUUCAUUUUAUUUGGGCCACAUCUUUUGCGUCUUUAUUAUCCUUCACCUGAGUAAAAUUUUCCAUUUAAAAUGUGCAAGCUAUUUAGCCUGUGGUUUUUAGUAAAUUUUGAUAAAAGUUGUUGAAAUAUGUGGUUGAGAAGUUGAUAAUAGUUGUGGGUCCCUUGGAAUGUGUGGUUGAAAAUGAGUUUGGCAAAAAAAUGAGUUUUGAGAAAUGGGGGUGAAUAAUUAAUGAAAGUUCUGUAUGUUGUCUGAUGAGUCAGACUGUAAUGUAAUUUUUUCUGUUAAUUUUAACUUUAUUGGAAACAUGAAUAAGCAUUGCUAAUUUUCUAUAAAGCCAAAAACAGGUAGUUUUCAUUACCUUCAAAGUCCCACACUGAAGAUUGUUUUGUUUCUCUUGGUGAAGAAUUUCACUCUUCUGGCAUUCUGCUUUUUCUUAAUCAAUAUGAUCAGUAAAUGCAUUUUUGGCUUCAGUCUGAACUUUCCACUUUGUUCUCUGUCAAAAAUCUGACUGAACAUUUUGGUUUGUCUGAAUUUUAGGUGAUAUUCAUGGGCAAUAUGGAGAUCUUUUACGGCUUUUUGAAUAUGGGGGAUUCCCUCCCGAGGCCAAUUAUUUGUUCUUAGGAGAUUAUGUGGACCGUGGAAAAUAUAGUUUAGAAACAAUAUGCCUUCUUCUUGCCUACAAAAUCAAAUAUCCAGAAAAUUUCUUUCUUUUAAGAGGAAAUCAUGAAUGUGCUUCUAUUAAUAGGAUAUAUGGAUUUUAUGAUGAAUGUAAACGGCGCUUCAAUGUGAGACUCUGGAAAGUCUUUACUGAUUGUUUCAACUGCCUCCCAGUAGCUGCUCUCAUUGAUGAUAAAAUACUUUGUAUGCAUGGUGGUCUUUCUCCUGAUCUACUUCACUUGGAUCAAAUAAGGAAUUUGCCACGUCCAACUGAUGUUCCUGACUCUGGUUUGCUUUGCGAUUUACUUUGGGCGGAUCCUAGUAGAGAAGUUAAAGGUUGGGGGAUGAACGAUAGAGGGGUCUCGUACACUUUUGGUCCAGAUAAGGUAGCUGAGUUUCUGAUGCAGCAUGAUAUGGAUCUUGUAUGUCGUGCUCAUCAGGUAUUGACAUUUUCUCUUGAUUUCUUUGAUCCUUGUUUCAGCGUUUGGAUUUCUGCUGUUGAUUGGUAUUUUGCUGUGCAGGUCGUGGAAGAUGGAUAUGAAUUUUUUGCUGAUAGACAGCUAGUUACAAUAUUUUCUGCUCCCAACUAUUGUGGUGAAUUUGAUAAUGCUGGGGCAAUGAUGAGUGUUGAUGAAAGUUUGAUGUGUUCAUUUCAGAUCCUGAGGCCAAAUGAUGGAAGGCGGUUUUUGUGAAGUAAAAUUUGAUUAAAGUGGUCUUAGUUCUCUGAGAAUGCUCAAGGUCUGUAACCUUGUCUUUGAUGAUGUUGCUGGAAUAUGUUUAUCUUCUGGAUAUUGUUCGAGUGCUUUGUCAACUUUCCUCAUGGUUGACUGAGUAGUAUAAUUAACAAAGAGGAUUAACAAUUAACAGAGCUUUAUUUAAAAAAAAAGAGAGAGAGAGAGAGAGAGAGAGAGAGAGAGAGAGAGAGAGAGAGAGAGAGAGAGAGAGAAUAAAGACACAGUUUAAUCUUUAAUCAGUCUUCAAGUAUUUUAGGUAAACCACCACGAAGUUAAAAAUGAUUGGCUUUUACACACUGAACCAUUUUAAUGGAUCCAUAUUUGUAUCUUGAUUCAGAUUGUUUCUCCCCUAUCAAAUUGCAAGUUUGAUUCUCAUAAAAUGGUGUGGUGACAUAAUCUGUGUUUCCUGCUUGAAAAAAUAGGCUUUUGGGGCAUGCCAUCUUCGAAUUUAUGGGGAAAGAAGGUGACACAUUGUGCACGUCUGCCUAGACCCUUGAUGAUAUUGUCUGUAAUUUAGGUUUUGGAAGUCUGAAUGAAAACCUUUUUUGGCUUCAAUUUGAAUUGAUGUUUAUCAAACAUUUUACAUAUAUUUGAAUGUUUGAAUGUAAAGCCUUAAAUUGUGUGGCAGUAGGUUGCGCUUGAUAAACUUGAACACUCUCAUCUCUUCUUGGUUACGAAUUCUAUUUCCCCUUUUUGGGUAACUUGGUGUUCUUUGGAAAUAUUUUCUGAUUCUUUGUCUGCUUAGCCAGGAUUCUAUCAUGACAUCAAUUUUCAAGUGAGCUAAAAUUGUCUACUGUAGUAUCAUUAAAAUUGAGCCCCUGUUUGGGCCAUAUUUUCAAGGAAGAAAGUAGAAAAAUUUUGACCAUUAUUUUCAAAUGCGGGUCCAACCUAAGAGAGAUGAAGUCAAAUAUGGUGGCUGAAAUUGGUCUCCAAUGGACGGAAUUCUCAUUUUUUUGUGGCUUAAAAUAUGGCUCAAACGGGGCUUAAUAGAACUAAUGUUGCUGAACAGUCGAGUCGGUCAUACUUUUGUUCUUGUGUGUAUAUAUAUGUGUAAAUUUUUUUUUUUACAAUUAUGAAACCUUGAGUAAUGAAUCACUCAAAUGCUUUCUCUUUAAUUAUACUUUUAUAUUUAUUCUUCUCUUGAUAUGUAUAACUUUUGACAAACAUAUUAGUCUCUUUUUUUAUCGACUGCGAUAGGAAAUUUAGAAUUUGAUUGAAUUUUUCUUACCAACUCAGCUCCUAAUUGUCAUUUGUCACAAUAAUAUACCUGGUAGAUAUUAUUGCAUUUGUUCUCAACUUGAAUAUUAUUGAAAAUAUCUUAAUCCCAUCUGCAGUGCAUGUCUAUGACUAUUAUGCUAUCAAAGCAUCACAUUGUGCUAGAGAAAUAAUAAGCCGAU